rnacentral:rRNA from 1 species
GGGAGGCAGCAGUGGGGAAUAUUGCACAAUGGGCGCAAGCCUGAUGCAGCCAUGCCGCGUGUAUGAAGAAGGACCUUCGGGUUGUAAAGUACUUUCAGCAGUGAGGAAGGUGGAUAUGUUAAUAGCAUAUUCAUUUGACGUUAGCUGCAGAAGAAGCACCGGCUAACUCCGUGCCAGCAGCCGCGGUAAUACGGAGGGUGCGAGCGUUAAUCGGAAUUACUGGGCGUAAAGCGCAUGCAGGUGGUUUGUUAAGUCAGAUGUGAAAGCCCGGGGCUCAACCUCGGAAUUGCAUUUGAAACUGGCAAACUAGAGUACUGUAGAGGGGGUAGAAUUUCAGGUGUAGCGGUGAAAUGCGUAGAGAUCUGAAGGAAUACCGGUGGCGAAGGCGGCCCCCUGGACAGAUACUGACACUCAGAUGCGAAAGCGUGGGGAGCAAACAGGAUUAGAUACCCUGGUAG